AACGAACGCUGGCGGCGCGCUUAACACAUGCAAGUCGAACGAGAAGGCGUAGCAAUACGCUUGUACAGUGGCGAACGGGUGAGUAAUACGUGGGCGACCUACCCUCGAGUGGGGAAUAACCCGCCGAAAGGCGGGCUAAUGCCGCGUACGCUUCCAUCUUUAUGGAGGUGGAAGGAAAGCCGUGCUGUGGGCACGGCGCUCAAGGAUGGGCUCACGUCCUAUCAGCUUGUUGGAGGGUAACGGCCUACCAAGGCUCCGACGGGUAGCUGGUCUGAGAGGACGAUCAGCCACACUGGCACUGCGACACGGGCCAGACUCCUACGGGAGGCAGCAGUGAGGAAUAUUGCGCAAUGGGCGAAAGCCUGACGCAGCGACGCCGCGUGGGGGAGUGAAGGUC
rnacentral:rRNA from 1 species